GGCCCCGAAUGAGUCGUAAUUCUUGCCUCUCACCAAUUCGUGGUGUCAGGUUGACGUGGAAGUGCUGCCCAUUCUCCUUGAUUGCUUCGCCCUUUCGCGUUGAAAUCGUGGCCCAUGGGUUGCUACUAGUUCCCUCGGAUGCAGAACCUUUGAUGGGUGCACAGUAUGUUGCUGUUGUUUACCCCCCGAAGCGUUCAUCGGCCGAUGAGUAUGACAGCUGUGCCCGUCUUGGUCCCCNNNNUCUGACUAGUUUGGGUGGGGCGCAUGCGGUGCCAGCGUCGCGAAGGAAUGCUACC
rnacentral:misc_RNA from 1 species